UUGGCCUGGUAAAUGCUGAUUGAGCUUGAUUCCUGGUUUCUUUUAAUAUGACUUAAUAGUCUUUGAUGUUCCAGAGUCAUCUCAUUUCUUUCCUGCCUUCAAGCUAGCAUCAACUAUGUCCCUGAGGAAGCUUCGAUUCUUUUAAUGGGAAAGAAUAAUUCAAGAUCACAGCCUAACAUUCACUGCAGCAUUAUAAGCAUACCUCGGAGACAUUACAGGUUCAGUUCCAGACCACCACAAUAAAAUCUUAAGGACCAGACCGAUAGAGGGGAGAGAGGCUUCUCAGGCCCACCGAUGGACGGAAAGGCAUGGAGUUAUUUGGAAAUCCCUCUGCUCCCAAUCAGUCAGCCAGGCCUGAGGCCAGACGCUCCAGUGCAUUGCUGCGGAUGGUUACUCAUCGAGGGCUCAGGUCAUAGAAUCGUUUGGUCCACUAGACACUUAUCCAGCCUCACCAGGACACGCCAGCCCUGCACAUUCCUGGGGACACAACAGUUGGAGGCACGGAGCGGCUCCUGGCCUUGAAGAACUCAUGCCAGGUGGGAACACAGCUACCUCAACCGAAACCCAGCAGCGACCUCAGGGAAGCCGAGGGCCUGAAGCACGACUGCACCCCCCAUCCCCAAGGUCAGAUUCCACACGACGUGCUCGGAGGCAGCACUGUCCUAAGGGCAGGCUCCCAGGCGCCUCCCAGCAGAGCCUCCCUUCAGAGGGACCAGCCCUUAGGCACAGCUAAGUGUUCCCAAGGAGCCGCAGGUGAGGAAAUGGUCACAAGCCUCUUUUUGGCAGCCUAUGUGGGUAAAAUCUGAGCAAUGCUGUGGUCAGCCUUCUAGCAGCGACCCCUUUCUAAUAUUUCCCUCCUCCAGAAGGAUACUACAAGGCCCUAUAGCAAAGAAAGACCUUCUGCUUCCCUGUAUUCUAGAUGGGUUAGACCUGGUCUGAGUUUCAAAAGUUUUGUUUUUUUUUUUUUUUCCUAAUUGCAAUGACAUGUUGCCCCCUCGUGUUCAUCUAUAUGGUUGCACCCUGUAGUAAUAGGGUGAGGAUGAAGCAGCGGGAGGUCUGGGCCCUUGACUUCCCAGAAGGGGAAAAACUAAACGUAGGCGACAGGCCUGGCAAAAGCACACAAAUGAGAGCCACUUAAGUUGCAAAAUAUGAGUCAUGGCUCUAUUUUUUUUCUGUAACAAUAUACAAUCUUCGAGUUUGGGUCCGGAUAGUAAUAGGCAAUGUUUAGUGCACACUUGCCAUGUGCCAGGCACAAUGCAUGGCAUUUGUUAACUCACUUCAUGCUCGCAGCAAUCCUGAGAACCAUUAGCUGCUCUGCGCUUGUGGUGUACCUCACAACUCAAGGAAGCAGACAGACGUGAAAUGUCACAUCAAAACGAAGCAAACGAAGCUAAGGGGCCCAUGGUCUGCAGAGGGUAAUGGAAUGAGGAGCCACAUGCAGAUCUUUCUCUUCUUAACAGCUUUACUGUGAUAUAAUUCACUUGUCAUGCAAUUCACCCACUUAGAGGGCACAACUCAUUGGCUUCUAGUAUGUCCACAGAGCUAUGUGACACCACAGUCAACUCUAGAUCAUUUUCAUCAUCCCUGAAAAAAAAACCCACAUGUCCUUUAGCAGUCAUUCCUCAUUUCCCCACACCCCACCGAUUCUAGACAACCACUCGCCUACUUUUUGUCUCUAUAAUUUUGCCUAUUCUCCAUUUUAGAACAACGGAAUCCCAUAAUGCAUGGUCCUUUGUGACUGGCUUCUUUUACUCAGCGUGUUCUCGAGGUUUAGCCACGUCACAGCAUGAGUAAAUACUUCAUUUCUUUUUACUGCCAAAUAAUAUUUGAUUGUAUGGAGAGUCCACAUCUUAAUGAUCAAGCUACCGGUUAAUAAACAUUUGGAUGAUGUC